rnacentral:rRNA from 1 species
AUUGAACGCUGGCGGCAGGCCUAACACAUGCAAGUCGAACGAGUGGCGGACGGGUGAGUAAUGUCUGGGAAACUGCCUGAUGGAGGGGGAUAACUACUGGAAACGGUAGCUAAUACCGCCUACUCUCGGUUUUGCCCAGAUGGGAUUAGCUAGUAGGUGGGGUAAAGGCUCACCUGGGCGACGAUCCCUAGCUGGUCUGAGAGGAGGACCGGCCAAGCUGGAACUGAGACACGGUCCAGAUUCCUACGGAGGGCAGCAGUGGGGAAUAUUGGCCAAUGGGCGCAAGCCUGAUGCAGCCAUGCCGCGUGUAUGAAGAAGGCCUUCGGGUUGUAAAGUACGUUCAGCGGGGAGGCGUUACCCGCAGAAGAAGCACCGGCUAACUCCGUGCCAGCAGCCGCGGUAAUAC